rnacentral:rRNA from 1 species
UACGUAGGGUGCAAGCGUUGUUCGGAUUUACUGGGCGUAAAGGGCGCGUAGGCGGCCAGCACAAGUCAGUUGUGAAAUCUCCGGGCUUAACUCGGAAAGGUCAACUGAUACUGUGCGGCUAGAGUGCAGAAGGGGCAACUGGAAUUCUCGGUGUAGCGGUGAAAUGCGUAGAUAUCGAGAGGAACACCUGCGGCGAAGGCGGGUUGCUGGGCUGACACUGACGCUGAUGCGCGAAAGCCAGGGGAGCGAACGGG